rnacentral:rRNA from 1 species
AUGAGGCAUCUCAUUUGGUUGAAAGUUCCGGCGGUUAUGGAUGGGCAUGCGUUGUAUUAGCUAGAUGGCGGGUAACGCCCACCAUGGCGACGAUGUCUAGGGGUUCUGAGAGGAAGGUCCCCCACACUGGAACUGAGACACGGUCCAGACUCCUACGGGAGGCAGCAGUGAGGAAUAUUGGUCAAUGGUCUGACGACUGAACCAGCCAUGCCGCGUGAAGGUCACGGCCCUAUGGGUCUUAAACUUCUUUUUGACAAGGGGAAACAAUAAGGUCUACGUGUAGAUCGAUGAGAGUACCUUGCGAAUAAGCAUCGGCCAACUCCGUG